UGGGGAAUAUUGGACAAUGGGCGCAAGCCUGAUCCAGCCAUGCCGCGUGUGUGAAGAAGGCUUUUUGGUUGUAAAGCACUUUAAGCGAGGAGGAGGCUACUUGGAUUAAUACUCUAGGAUAGUGGACGUUACUCGCAGAAUAAGCACCGGCUAACUCUGUGCCAGCAGCCGCGGUAAUACAGAGGGUGCGAGCGUUAAUCGGAUUUACUGGGCGUAAAGCGUGCGUAGGCGGCUUCUUAAGUCGGAUGUGAAAUCCCUGAGCUUAACUUAGGAAUUGCAUUCGAUACUGGGAAGCUAGAGUAUGGGAGAGGAUGGUAGAAUUCCAGGUGUAGCGGUGAAAUGCGUAGAGAUCUGGAGGAAUACCGAUGGCGAAGGCAGCCAUCUGGCCUAAUACUGACGCUGAGGUACGAAAGCAUGGGGAGCAAACAGG
rnacentral:rRNA from 1 species